rnacentral:rRNA from 1 species
UAGAACGCUCGUAGUCGGAUUUCGGGGCGGGCCGACCGGUCUGCCGAUGGGUACGCACUGGUCGGCGCGUCCUUCCUUCCGGAGACCGUGCCUACUCUUAACUGAGCGGGGGCGGGAGACGGAUCGUUUACUUUGAAAAAAUCAGAGUGUUUCAAGCAGGCAGCUCGCUCUUGCAUGGAUUAGCAUGGGAUAAUGAAAUAGGACUUUGGUGCUAUUUUGUUGGUUUCGAACACCGAAGUAAUGAUUAACAGGGACAGUCAGGGGCACUCGUAUUCCGCCGAGAGAGGUGAAAUUCUCAGACCAGCGGAAGACGAACUACUGCGAAAGCAUUUGCCAGGGAUGUUUUCACUGAUCAAGAACGAAAGUUAGGGGAUCGAAGAGGAUCAGAUACCCUCGUAGUCUUAACCAUAGACCAUGCCGACUAGGGAUUGGGGGAUGUUCACAUAUCGACUCCCUCAGCACCUUACGGGAAACUAAAGUCUUUGGGUUCCGGGGGGAGUAUGGUCGCAAGGCUGAAACUUAAAGGAAUUGACGGAAGGGCACCACCAGGUGUGGAGCCUGCGGCUUAAUUUGACUCAACACGGGGAAACUUACCAGGUCCAGACAUUGUGAGGAUUGACAGAUUGAGAGCUCUUUCUUGAUUCGAUGGGUGGUGGUGCAU